GUGCUCGCUUUGGCGGCACAUAUACUAAAAUUGGAACGAUAAUAGAGAAGAUUAUCAUGUUCCCUGUGCAAGGAUGACACACAAAUUCGUGAAGCGUUCUAUAUUUUU
ensembl:snRNA U6 U6 spliceosomal RNA